rnacentral:lncRNA from 1 species
GUGAAUAUAAGUUCAUAACGAUUAGGUGAAACUCCCUUAUAUUCUAGCGUCAAAUUCAUGCAUGAAAAUUAAGUGUGCACUCUCAACCAACAUACACAAAUCAGUUUUUAUACGAACAGAUAAGUAAAUUGAAUUCACAACUUAUGAAUCACAACUGGAUGUAAUCAAAUCAUAUUGUAAGCAUAAACAUAGUUUCGAAUCACCCCCUAACUAAGAGGGGUUUAGUUCCUCAUGCUCGCAAUUACACAAAGAUAACUUAAAUUAAACAUUGAAAUCAAAGAUAGAAAACACCUAGAAACGCUUCAACAUUCCCAAGGCUUGGGCAUAGGCACGGCACAAGAUGUUCCUUCUCCUUCCUUUCUUGCAAUAGUCACGGCAUAAGAGAUUUAGAACAGGUUUUGGGUGGUUUUUAUGGUGUAGAAUGGAUGAGGAAUGGUAUGGAAAGGUUUAGGGUUGAUG